GACGAACGCUGGCGGCGUGCUUAACACAUGCAAGUCGAACGGAAAGGCCCUGCUUUUGUGGGGUGCUCGAGUGGCGAACGGGUGAGUAACACGUGAGUAACCUGCCCUUGACUUUGGUAUAACUUCAGGAAACUGGGGCUAAUACCGUAUAGGAGCCCCCGCUGCAUUGUGGGCGUUGGAUCGUCUCGGCUGUUGGGGUUGGACUCGCGGCUUAUCAGUUUGUUGGUGGGGUAGUGGCUUACCAAGGCUUUGACGGGUAGCCGGCCUGAGAGGGUGACCGGCGACAUUGGGACUGAGAGACGGACCAGACUCCUACGGGAGGCAGCAGUGGGGAAUAUUGCACAAUGGGCGGAAGCCUGAUGCAGCAACGCCGCGUGCGGGAUGACGGCCUGCGGGUUGUAAACCGCUUUAGCCUGUGACGAAGCGUGAGUGACGGUAAUGGGUAAAGAAGCACCGGCUAACUACGUG
rnacentral:rRNA from 1 species